rnacentral:rRNA from 1 species
UACAGAGGGUGCGAGCGUUGUUCGGAAUUAUUGGGCGUAAAGGGCGCGUAGGCGGUGCGGUAAGUCACCUGUGAAAUCUCCUGGCUUAACUGGGAGCCUGCAGGCGAAACUACCGUGCUGGAGUGUGGGAGAGGUGCGUGGAAUUCCCGGUGUAGCGGUGAAAUGCGUAGAUAUCGGGGAGGAACACCUGUGGCGAAAGCGGCGCACUGGACCAUAACUGACGCUGAGGCGCGAAAGCUAGGGGAGCAAACAGGA